rnacentral:rRNA from 2 species
CGUAUCACCCAAGACAACUUUACGGAGUUGACGAUUGACGGAGCGAAGCGACGUCAAAGCGUUCAUUAAAGUCGAGUUGGCUUAGGGAUACGUUCGUUGGGUAGGGGAGCGUUCUGUAAGCCUGUGAAGGUGUGUCGUGAGGCAUGCUGGAGGUAUCAGAAGUGCGAAUGCUGACAUAAGUAACGAUAAAGCGGGUGAAAAGCCCGCUCGCCGGAAGACCAAGGGUUCCUGUCCAACGUUAAUCGGGGCAGGGUGAGUCGACCCCUAAGGCGAGGCCGAAAGGCGUAGUCGAUGGGAAACGGGUUAAUAUUCCCGUACUUGGUGUUACUGCGAAGGGGGGACGGAGAAGGCUAUGUUGGCCGGGCGACGGUUGUCCCGGUUUAAGCGUGUAGGUGUGUGUUCCAGGUAAAUCCGGUUCACUUUAACACUGAGGCGUGACGACGAGGCACUACGGUGCUGAAGCAACAAAUGCCCUGCUUCCAGGAAAAGCCUCUAAGCAUCAGGUAACACGAAAUCGUACCCCAAACCGACACAGGUGGUCAGGUAGAGAAUACCAAGGCGCUUGAGAGAACUCGGGUGAAGGAACUAGGCAAAAUGGUGCCGUAACUUCGGGAGAAGGCACGCUGACAC